rfam:Spinacia oleracea cultivar SynViroflay scaffold86733.con0045.1, whole genome shotgun sequence.
AUACGUGUAGGGUGGAGAUGCACAACCGUCGGACCGUGUAGCACUAGGCUUAUAUUUAGACGCUUCAUCUCGUCCACAGUCGUCGGUUGAUUCCUCCUCCUGACCUUAGCUUUUGUUGAAGUGGUGCCUUUGUCACCACCGCUAACAAGCAGGACGCGUCCGUCGCGAUACGGCCCAAUUGGCCUGUUAUUGCUGGACACUGGAGUGGCCAACCACUCUUGACGCACCUGACACCGACCGUGAGAAGUCGUGUGUGCCGAACGCCGUUUCCGGCAGCCCGGAAACCGA